AACGAACGCUGGCGGCAGGCUUAACACAUGCAAGUCGAGCGCCCCGCAAGGGGAGCGGCAGACGGGUGAGUAACGCGUGGGAAUCUACCCAUCUCUACGGAAUAACGCAUGGAAACGUGUGCUAAUACCGUAUACGUCCUUCGGGAGAAAGAUUUAUCGGAGAUGGAUGAGCCCGCGUUGGAUUAGCUAGUUGGUGGGGUAAAGGCCUACCAAGGCGACGAUCCAUAGCUGGUCUGAGAGGAUGACCAGCCACACUGGGACUGAGACACGGCCCAGACUGCUACGGGAGGCUGCAGUGGGGAAUAUUGGACAAUGGGCGCAAGCCUGAUCCAGCCAUGCCGCGUGAGUGAUGAAGGCCCUAGGGUUGUAAAGCUCUUUCACCGGUGAAGAUAAUGACGGUAACCGGAGAAGAAGCCCCGGCUAACUUCGUGCCAGCCGCCGCAGUAAAAC
rnacentral:rRNA from 1 species